UACGUAGGGGGCUAGCGUUGUCCGGAAUCAUUGGGCGUAAAGAGCGUGUAGGCGGUCCGGUAAGUCCGCUGUGAAAGUCGGGGGCUCAACCCUCGAAUGCCGGUGGAUACUGUCGGGCUAGAGUACGGAAGAGGCGAGUGGAAUUCCUGGUGUAGCGGUGAAAUGCGCAGAUAUCAGGAGGAACACCUAUUGCGAAGGCAGCUCGCUGGGACGUAACUGACGCUGAGACGCGAAAGUGUGGGGAGCGAACAGG
rnacentral:rRNA from 1 species